rnacentral:rRNA from 1 species
AGAGUUUGAUCCUGGCUCAGAUUGAACGCUGGCGGCAGGCCUAACACAUGCAAGUCGAACGGUAGCACAGAGAGCUUGCUCUCGGGUGACGAGUGGCGGACGGGUGAGUAAUGUCUGGGAAACUGCCUGAUGGAGGGGGAUAACUACUGGAAACGGUAGCUAAUACCGCAUAACGUCGCAAGACCAAAGAGGGGGACCUUCGGGCCUCUUGCCAUCAGAUGUGCCCAGAUGGGAUUAGCUAGUAGGUGGGGUAAUGGCUCACCUAGGCGACGAUCCCUAGCUGGUCUGAGAGGAUGACCAGCCACACUGGAACUGAGACUCGGUCCAGACUCCUACGGGAGGCAGCAGUGGGGAAUAUUGCACAAUGGGCGCAAGCCUGAUGCAGCCAUGCCGCGUGUAUGAAGAAGGCCUUCGGGUUGUAAAGUACUUUCAGCGAGGAGGAAGGCAUCAAGGUUAAUAACCUUGGUGAUUGACGUUACUCGCAGAAGAAGCACCGGCUAACUCCGUGCCAGCAGCCGCGGUAAUACGGAGGGUGCAAGCGUUAAUCGGAACUACUGGGCGUAAAGCGCACG